rnacentral:rRNA from 1 species
GAACGCUGGCGGCAUGCCUUACACAUGCAAGUCGAACGGCAGCACGGGAGCAAUCCUGGUGGCGAGUGGCGAACGGGUGAGUAAUAUAUCGGAACGUGCCCAGUCGUGGGGGAUAACGUAGCGAAAGCUACGCUAAUACCGCAUACGAUCUACGGAUGAAAGCGGGGGACUCGCAAGAGCCUCGCGCGAUUGGAGCGGCCGAUAUCAGAUUAGGUUGUUGGUGAGGUAAAAGCUCACCAAGCCUGCGAUCUGUAGCUGGUCUGAGAGGACGACCAGCCACACUGGAACUGAGACACGGUCCAGACUCCUACGGGAGGCAGCAGUGGGGAAUUUUGGACAAUGGACGCAAGUCUGAUCCAGCAAUGCCGCGUGCAGGACGAAGGC